rnacentral:rRNA from 1 species
AUUGAACGCUGGCGGCAUGCCUAACACAUGCAAGUCGAACGAGACCUUCGGGUCUAGUGGCGCACGGGUGCGUAACGCGUGGGAACCUGCCUUUAGGUUCGGAAUAACUCAGAGAAAUUUGAGCUAAUACCGGAUAAUGUCUUCGGACCAAAGAUUUAUCGCCUUUAGAUGGGCCCGCGUUGGAUUAGCUAGUUGGUGGGUAAAGGCCUACCAAGCCGACGAUCCUUAGCUGGUCUGAGAGGAUGAUCAGCCACACUGGGACUGAGACACGGCCCAGACUCCUACGGAGGCAGCAGUGGGGAAUAUUGGACAAUGGGCGAAAGCCUGAUCCAGCAAUGCCGCGUGAGUGAUGAAGGCCUUCGGGUCGUAAAGGACNCUUUUUACCCAGGGAUGAUAAUGACAGUACCUGGAGAAUAAGCUCCGGCUAACUCCGUGCCAGCAGCCGCGGUAAUGUGACUACUG